rnacentral:tRNA from 2 species
UACAUUUUAGUGUAUGAUGCACAUAAAUUUUUGAUGUUUAUAGGGGUAGUUUGAAUCUAUUUAAUGUAG